GGUCUGAUUGAAUCUCAGCCGUUGGAUUGCACCCAAAUCUUUCUCUCACUGUGAGCCACGCCUGGGGACCGCGUAACUAUUCCUGUGAACCGCACCCUGGCUCUAUGGACCGAUCAACCGGUCCACCGUGCAUCGGAGGCUAUUUUCUUUAUUUUUUAGGAUAUUUUAGCUUUGUUUUUGCUUCGAUUUUCAUCUAAAAAAUUGAAAAAAAUAUGCAUUAAAUUUUUUAAAAUUUUUUCUUCAUUUUGGUGCUUAAAUUGCUCA
rnacentral:lncRNA from 1 species